AAAAAUUUAUAAUACAAAUAUAAAAUAAUAAAUUACAACACAAAAAAUUACAAAUAAAAAAAAUUAACGACAAAUAUUGAUUUAAAAAUUUAAUACAAAGAGUCAAAAUAUAAUUGGACACAAAUUAAAUUAUACAAAAUUCAAAAAAUUUAUCAACAUAAAAUAAAUAACAUUAUUACAAAUUAAGGGAAAAAAUAAAUUAAUAUUUUUUAAA
rnacentral:misc_RNA from 1 species